rnacentral:rRNA from 1 species
UACGAAGGGGGCUAGCGUUGCUCGGAAUUACUGGGCGUAAAGGGCGCGUAGGCGGAUAGUUCAGUCGGGGGUGAAAGCCCGGGGCUCAACCUCGGAACGUGCCUCGAUACUGGCUAUCUUGAGUACGGGAGAGGUGUGUGGAACUCCGAGUGUAGAGGUGAAAUUCGUAGAUAUUCGGAAGAACACCAGUGGCGAAGGCGACACACUGGC